rnacentral:rRNA from 1 species
CCUACGGGAGGCAGCAGGGAGGAAUAUUGGGCAAUGGACGAGAGUCUGAACCAGCAAAGUAGCGUGAAGGAUGACGGCCCUAUGGGUUGUAAACUUCGUUUAUAAAGGAAUAAAACGAGGCACGUGUGCCUUUUUGCAUGUACUUUAUGAAUAAGGAUCGCCUAACUCCGUGCCAGCAGCCGCGGUAAUACGGAGGGUCCGAGCGUUAUCCGGAUUUAUUGGGUUUAAAGGGAGCGUAGAUGGGUUGUUAAGUCAGUUGUGAAAGUUUGUGGCUCAACCGUAGAAUUGCAUUUGAUACUGGCAGUCUUGAGUGCAGUUGAGGUAGGCGGAAUUCGUGGUGUAGCGGUGAAAUGCUUAGAUAUCACGAAGAACCCCGAUUGCGAAGGCAGCUUACUAAACUGUGACUGACAUUGAUGCUCGAAAGUGUGGGUAUCAAACAGGAUUAGAUACCCGAGUAGUC